rnacentral:rRNA from 1 species
UUUGCGGUGGUCAUGGCUCAGGUGAGACGCCCGGUCCCAUUCCGAACCCGGAAGCUAAGGCCUGACACGGUGAGGGUACUGCACUCGAUAGGGUGUGGGAGACUAGCACGCUGCCGCAU